rnacentral:rRNA from 1 species
AUUGAACGCUGGCGGCAUGCCUUACACAUGCAAGUCGAACGGCAGCGCGGGAGCAAUCCUGGCGGCGAGUGGCGAACGGGUGAGUAAUAUAUCGGAACGUGCCCAGUAGUGGGGGAUAGCCCGGCGAAAGCCGGAUUAAUACCGCAUACGACCUGAGGGUGAAAGGGGGGAGUUCGCAAGAACCUCUCGCUAUUGGAGCGGCCGAUAUCAGAUUAGGUAGUUGGNGGGGUAAAGGCCUACCAAGCCUGCGAUCUGUAGUUGGUCUGAGAGGACGACCAGCCACACUGGGACUGAGACACGGCCCAGACUCCUACGGAGGCAGCAGUGGGGAAUUUUGGACAAUGGGCGCAAGCCUGAUCCAGCAAUGCCGCGUGCAGGAAGAAGG